rnacentral:rRNA from 1 species
UACGUAGGGUGCGAGCGUUAAUCGGAAUUACUGGGCGUAAAGCGUGCGCAGGCGGUUCGACAAGUCCGAUGUGAAAGCCCCGGGCUCAACCUGGGAAUGGCAUUGGAAACUGGCGAGCUAGAGUGUGGCAGAGGGGGGUGGAAUUCCACGUGUAGCAGUGAAAUGCGUAGAGAUGUGGAGGAACACCGAUGGCGAAGGCAGCCCCCUGGGCUAACACUGACGCUCAUGCACGAAAGCGUGGGGAGCAAACAGG